AACCUGGGGAAACUCGGGCUAAUACCGCAUACGUUCCCGGGGCUUCGGCUCCGGGAGGAAAGAUGGCCUCUGCUUGCAAGCUAUCUCUCCCAGAGGGGCCCGUGGCUGAUUAGCUAGUUGGUGGGGUAACGGCCCACCAAGGCGACGAUCAGUAGCCGGCCUGAGAGGGCGAUCGGCCACACUGGAACUGAGACACGGUCCAGACUCCUACGGGAGGCAGCAGUGGGGAAUAUUGGACAAUGGGGGAAACCCUGAUCCAGCAACGCCGCGUGGGGGAUGAAGGUCUUCGGAUUGUAAACCCCUGUUGAGAGGGACGAAGGUUUGAAGGCAAACAGUCUUCAAACUUGACGGUACCUCGAGAGGAAGCCCCGGCUAACUCUGUGCCAGCAGCCGCGGUAAUGGCGAGCGUUAUUCGGAAUUAUUGGGCGUAAAGGGCGCGUA
rnacentral:rRNA from 1 species